GCAGGGUUAGUGAAGCGGUCAAACACAGCAGACUGUAAAUCUGCCCUCUCCGAGUUCGGAGGUUCGAAUCCUCCACCCUGCACCA
rnacentral:tRNA from 1 species